rnacentral:rRNA from 1 species
CGCCGAACCCGCGCACGCUACACAUGCAGUCGAACGGUAGCACAGAGAGCUUGCUCUCGGGUGACGAGUGGCGGACGGGUGAGUAAUGUCUGGGAAACUGCCUGAUGGAGGGGGAUAACUACUGGAAACGGUAGCUAAUACCGCAUAACGUCGCAAGACCAAAGAGGGGGACCUUCGGGCCUCUUGCCAUCAGAUGUGCCCAGAUGGGAUUAGCUAGUAGGUGGGGUAACGGCUCACCUAGGCGACGAUCCCUAGCUGGUCUGAGAGGAUGACCAGCCACACUGGAACUGAGACACGGUCCAGACUCCUACGGGAGGCAGCAGUGGGGAAUAUUGCACAAUGGGCGCAAGCCUGAUGCAGCCAUGCCGCGUGUAUGAAGAAGGCCUUCGGGUUGUAAAGUACUUUCAGCGGGGAGGAAGGUGUUGUGGUUAAUAACCGCAGCAAUUGACGUUACCCGCAGAAGAAGCACCGGCUAACUCCGUGCCAGCAGCCGCGGUAAUACGGAGGGUGCAAGCGUUAAUCGGAAUUACUGGGCGUAAAGCGCACGCAGGCGGUCUGUCAAGUCGGAUGUGAAAUCCCCGGGCUCAACCUGGGAACUGCAUUCGAAACUGGCAGGCUGGAGUCUUGUAGAGGGGGGUAGAAUUCCAGGUGUAGCGGUGAAAUGCGUAGAGAUCUGGAGGAAUACCGGUGGCGAAGGCGGCCCCCGUGGACAAGACUGACGCUCAGGUGCGAAAGCGUGGGGAGCAAACAGGAUUAGAUACCCCUGGUAGUCACGCCGUAAACGAUGUCGAUUUGGAGGUUGUGCCCCUUGAGGCGUGGCUUCCCGGAGCUAACGCGUUAAAUCGACCGCCUGGGGAGUACGCCCGCAAGGUUAAACUCAUAUGAAUUUGCGGGGGGCCCGCCCCAAGCGGCGGAGGCUGUUGGU